CCUACGGGUGGCAGCAGUGAGGAAUAUUUGUCAAUGGGCUGGCGCCUGAACCAGCCAAGCCGCGUGAGGGAAGAAGGUACAGCGUGUCGUAAACCUCUUUUGUCAGGGAGCAACGCCGGGGACUAGUCCCCGGAUGGGGGUACCUGAAGAAAAAGCAUCGGCUAACUCCGUGCCAGCCACCGCGGUAAUACGGAGGAUGCGAGCGUUAUCCGGAUUUCUUGGGUUUAAAGGGUGCGUAGGCGGCCUGUUCAGUCAGCGGUAAAAGCCCGGGGCUCAACCCCGGCGCGCCGUUGAAACUGGCGGUCUGGAGUGGGCGAGAAGUACGCGGAAGGCGCGGUGUAGCGGUGAAAUGCAUAGAUAGCGCGCAGAACUCCGAUUGCGAAGGCAGCGUACCGGCUCCACACUGACGCUGAGGCACGAAAGCGUGGGUAUCGAACAGGAUUAGAUACCCUAGUAGUC
rnacentral:rRNA from 1 species